GGAAUUUUUGACAAUGGGGGAAACCCUGAUCAAGCAACGCCGCGUGGAUGAUGAAGUAUCUCGGUACGUAAAAUCCUUUCGCCAGGGAAGAAGCCUUCGGGUUGACGGUACCUGUAGAAGAAGCCCCGGCUAACUCCGUGCCAGCAACCGCGGUAAUCCGUGGGGGGCAAGGGUUGUUCGGAUUUACUGGGCGUAAAGGGCGCGUAGGCGGUUCGUUAAGUCGGAUGGGAAAACUCUGGGCUCAACCCAGAGCCUGCAUCCGAUACUGGCGGACUAGAGUGCGAGAGGGGAAAGCGGAAUUCCUGGUGUAGCGGUGAAAUGCGUAGAUAUCAGGAGGAACACCGGCGGCGAAGGCGGCUUUCUGGAUCGCAACUGACGCUGAGGCGCGAAAGCUAGGGGAGCAAAC
rnacentral:rRNA from 1 species